GUACACACCGCCCGUCACACCAUGGGAGUCUAUUGCACCAGAAGUAGCUAGCUUAACCUUCGGGAGGGCGGUUACCACGGUGUGGUCGAUGACUGGGGUGAAGUCGUAACAAGGUAUCCGUAGGUGAACCUGCAGAAGGAUCA
rnacentral:rRNA from 1 species